rnacentral:lncRNA from 1 species
AUUCUUUCUCCAUAGCAGAGGUGCUGCAGCCUCUGAGCGAAGCAGCUGGAGAAAAACUUUUCCUCUUCUCAUUUGGGUCGAUGUAGGGCAUGCAAGAGGCAAAUCAUAGAAUCAUAGAAUCGCUAAGGUUGGAAAAGACCCACAGGACCAUCCAGUCCAACCAUCCGCCCUUCACCAAUGGUUCUCGCUAAACCACGUCCCUCAACACAAC